GUGCUUGAUUUGGCAGCACGUAUAUUAAAAUGGGAAUGAUACAGAGAUUAGCAUGGCUCCUGCACAAGGAUGACACACAAAUUUGUGAAGAGUUUAACAUUGUU